rnacentral:rRNA from 1 species
AGAGUUUGAUCCUGGCUCAGGACGAACGCUGGCGGCGCGCCUAACACAUGCAAGUCGAACGAGAGAGAGGGAGCUUGCUUCCUCAAUCGAGUGGCGAACGGGUGAGUAACGCGUGAGGAACCUGCCUCAAAGAGGGGGACAACAGUUGGAAACGACUGCUAAUACCGCAUAAGCCCACGGCUCGGCAUCGAGCAGAGGGAAAAGGAGCAAUCCGCUUUGAGAUGGCCUCGCGUCCGAUUAGCUAGUUGGUGAGGUAACGGCCCACCAAGGCGACGAUCGGUAGCCGGACUGAGAGGUUGAACGGCCACAUUGGGACUGAGACACGGCCCAGACUCCUACGGGAGGCAGCAGUGGGGGAUAUUGCACAAUGGGGGAAACCCUGAUGCAGCGACGCCGCGUGGAGGAAGAAGGUCUUCGGAUUGUAAACUCCUGUUGUUGAGGAAGAUAAUGACGGUACUCAACAAGGAAGUGACGGCUAACUACGUGCCAGCAGCCGCGGUAAAACGUAGGUCACAAGCGUUGUCCGGAAUUACUGGGUGUAAAGGGAGCGCAGGCGGGAAGACAAGUUGGAAGUGAAAUCCAUGGGCUCAACCCAUGAACUGCUUUCAAAACUGUUUUUCUUGAGUAGUGCAGAGGUAGGCGGAAUUCCCGGUGUAGCGGUGGAAUGCGUAGAUAUCGGGAGGAACACCAGUGGCGAAGGCGACCUACUGGGCACCAACUGACGCUGAGGCUCGAAAGCAUGGGUAGCAAACAGGAUUAGAUACCCUGGUAGUCCAUGCCGUAAACGAUGAUUACUAGGUGUUGGAGGAUUGACCCCUUCAGUGCCGCAGUUAACACAAUAAGUAAUCCACCUGGGGAGUACGACCGCAAGGUUGAAACUCAAAGGAAUUGACGGGGGCCCGCACAAGCAGUGGAGUAU